UUUAAGGUCUAAUCUGCCCUAUGAGGAGUUAAAUGGCCGCGGUAUUUUGACCGUGCAAAGGUAGCAUAAUAAUUAGUUUUUUAAUUGAAAGCUGGAAUGAAUGAUUGGACGAGAAAAUUACUGUCUCAAGUUGAUUUAAUUAGAAUUUUAUAUUUAAGUAAAAAAGCUUAAAUUUUUUUAAAAGACGAGAAGACCCUAUAGAGUUUUAUAUAUUUAUUUAUAAUAAAAUUUUUGGAAUUAUGUGUUUGCUAUAUGUAAUUAUAUUUUGUUGGGGUGAUAGAAAAAUUAAAUUAACUUUUUUUAAAAAUUUUUACAUUAAUUUAUGAUUUAAUGAUCCAUUUUUUAUGAUUAUAAGAUUAAAUUACCUUAGGGAUAACAGCGUAAUUAUUUUUUAGAGUUCUUAUCGAAAAAAUAGAUUGCGACCUCGAUGUUGGAUUAAAAUAAAUGUUUGGUGUAGGGGCUAAAUAGUUAGGUCUGUUCGACCUUUAAAAUUUUACA
rnacentral:rRNA from 1 species